GGGGUGUAUGGUAAGGACUUUAUAAACUUACGAGCUUUGGGAUUGUCAAUGAAAGCGAGAUCUUUUUCAUCCAUAGUGCCAAGCACAUUGACAAUCAACUUGAGUUGGUUAAGGCACUCAGUGCCUGGAAAGAUCGGCUUGCGUCCCAACAGCUCAGCAAAGAUGCAGCCAACAGACCACACAUCUAUGGAGGUCCCAUAAUUGUCACAACAGAGAAGCAGCUCAGGUGCUCGGUACCAGC
rnacentral:misc_RNA from 1 species